rnacentral:rRNA from 1 species
CGCAGACAGAGUUAUAAGGUUCCAAAAUUAUUGUUAAGUGAAAAUAAGGUAGUGUUUAUCCAAGCCAACCAGGAAAUGGGCUUAGGAGCGGCCAUUUUUUAAAGACCUCGUAACAGAGCACUGGUUUUAUACAUUUUUGUAUGUAUUGUUAGAUGCACCUAAAAUUUAACGGAUCUAAAUAAUAUACCGAGACCUUGUCCAUAAAUAUUUAUAUGUACAAGUUACAUAUAAUAUUUAUGGGGUAGCGGAACAUUGGGCAUAUCUCAGAUUUUUUCUUUUUAAGACUUAAGAUUAGAUGACCCAAGUGAUAAUGCUGACAUGAGUAACGAUAAAGGGUUUAUACCCUCGCCUAAAGCUUAUGGAAUUUACUUAAAGUAACGGCCUCUAAGUUUAAAUUUGCUAUAGUUUAAACAAACAACACUUGAUACCUAACUCUAACAGACGAUACAAGUGCAAAAUAGUAAACACCUAAUGGUAUAAACGAUGAGAAAAAGCUAAGUUUUACAGAUAUAAAUAGCAUGAGUGUUGCAGGUAGGUAUUAUAUAUAUAAUGGAUUUUUUUUUUAUUCUUUUUAUGCGUUAUUAUCCUUUGCACUAUAUG